UACGUAGGGACCAAGCGUUGUUCGGAUUUACUGGGCGUAAAGGGCGCGUAGGCGGCGCGGUAAGUCACUUGUGAAAUCUCUGAGCUUAACUCAGAACGGCCAAGUGAUACUGCAGUGCUAGAGUGCAGAAAGGGCAAUCGGAAUUCUUGGUGUAGCGGUGAAAUGCGUAGAUAUCAGGAAGAACACCCGUGGCGAAGGCGGCUCUCUGGGACGGUACUGACGCUGAGACGCGAAAGCGUGGGGAGCGAACAGG
rnacentral:rRNA from 1 species